GGCGAACGCUGGCGGCGUGCUUAACACAUGCAAGUCGAACGGAAAGGCCCUGCUUUUGUGGGGUGCUCGAGUGGCGAACGGGUGAGUAACACGUGAGUAACCUGCCCUUGACUUUGGGAUAACUUCAGGAAAAUGGGGCUAAUACCGGAUAGGAGCUCCUGCUGCAUGGUGGGGGUUGGAAAGUUUCGGCGGUUGGGGAUGGACUCGCGGCUUAUCAGCUUGUUGGUGGGGUAGUGGCUUACCAAGGCUUUGACGGGUAGCCGGCCUGAGAGGGUGACCGGCCACAUUGGGACUGAGAUACGGCCCAGACUCCUACGGGAGGCAGCAGUGGGGAAUAUUGCACAAUGGGCGGAAGCCUGAUGCAGCAACGCCGCGUGCGGGAUGACGGCCUUCGGGUUGUAAACCGCUUUCGCCUGUGACGAAGCGUGAGUGACGGUAAUGGGUAAAGAAGCACCGGCUAACUACGUG
rnacentral:rRNA from 1 species